GGGAUCAUUACAAGAACGCCCGGGCUUCGGCCUGGUUAUUCAUAACCCUUUGUUGUCCGACUCUGUUGCCUCCGGGGCGACCCUGCCUUCGGGCGGGGGCUCCGGGUGGACACUUCAAACUCUUGCGUAACUUUGCAGUCUGAGUAAACUUAAUUAAUAAAUUAAAACUUUUAACAACGGAUCUCUUGGUUCUGGCAUCGAUGAAGAACGCAGCGAAAUGCGAUAAGUAAUGUGAAUUGCAGAAUUCAGUGAAUCAUCGAAUCUUUGAACGCACAUUGCGCCCCCUGGUAUUCCGGGGGGCAUGCCUGUUCGAGCGUCAUUUCACCACUCAAGCCUCGCUUGGUAUUGGGCAACGCGGUCCGCCGCGUGCCUCAAAUCGUCCGGCUGGGUCUUCUGUCCCCUAAGCGUUGUGGAAACUAUUCGCUAAAGGGUGUUCGGGAGGCUACGCCGUAAAACAACCCCAUUUCUAAGGUUGACCUCGGAUCAGGUAGGGAUACCCGCUGAACU
rnacentral:rRNA from 2 species